UAAAAAUCACAGCUUUAGUGUCUUCUUCCACCUUCUCUGCAUACAAUAACGAUUGUAUUGUGAGAAGUCAGAAAACAAAACAAACAAAAUUUAAGAUAAAAAAAUUUAGUGUCUUUUUGUUCAUUGCAUCUGUUCAUGAAACUUCUCCAUCAUUGUAUUUGUUCAUGAAUCUGCUGAGAUCUCCAGCAUUUUGUUUGUGUGGGCUUAUUACGGGGAAGAUCUGUAUCAUUGCCUUCAAAUUUGUUGGAUUUUAAGCGUGGCUGACGUGGGAUUAUUUUACUUACGUGUCGGCCUAUGGUUAAUCGUGUUUCCCGCCCAAAAAUGUCUACAUCAAGCCUGUGUUUCUAAUUUUUUGCUUUUGUUGGUGCAUGUGUAUGAUUUCCUUUUUUUUUUUUUUGCUUCUACCUUACCUGUCAAUGAUUUUGUUGGUGCAUGUGUAUUAUUCCCUUUUUUGUUUUAAUUUUUUUUGUGCUUCAUUUCUUUGGUUACUUUAGUGUGUGUUACCAUAUGAUGGACCAUUUUUUUUAAAAUGCCAACUUUGUUUUUGUGGUUCCCUACCAUAUUGUUGGUGUUUUCUUUCUUUGUUGUUGCCGUUUUACUUUUGUUUAGUUAAGGGUGUUUAUUUUUUGGUAUAUGGUAACUGAACUUGGCUUUUAUUUUUGACCGAGAGCAACAAAGAAGACGACUAAUAGUGUCCGGCAUUUGGAGUACAGGGCCCAUCAAAUUCACUGCUGUCUACAAUUGUGCACCGAUUUGAGGCCGCAUUCCAUGUUGACAAGAAUGUCAUUGAGGUUCCUUUAUUCUUACCAUAGACAAUGGUACCCGAAUUAUCCAACUUAUGUGCUCUUCAAAUACAAAGGAGAAGAGCACUUUAUAAAGCUUCAUAAAUAUGGUAACCGAUACUUUUUUGGUGAUGAACUCAAGGGACUUAGAAGAACCCACGACAUUUACAAAAGUGUCAUCAUGCAUUUUGUUGCAUGGGACAAAAAUACUACUUUCCAUGUGGAGGUCAUGGGACCUCUCUAUAGACGAACACGUGAAAGGUCAGUCGCAACCACCAGACACCAUGUUUUUUUCCAUAGAUGUUAUCGAAGAUAUGAUACAACACAAUUAUCAAUUGGUUCUACUACCAGAGGCUUUAAAUUUUUUAUUUGGAUAAAAAAAAUAUGACUAUGCAACGUGGUCGUGGUAGACGUUACGAAUGGAUGAUCACCAUGAAUAAUGGCCUACCAUGUGUUGCUGAGUCAUGGAUCCAAUACUUAACUGACAAUCAUUUGAAGCCUGGAGAUGAGGUCGUCUUCUUCUACAGGUUCGACCAAUAUUUAUGGGAGGUCGUCUAUAGGAAGCAGGUUAAAUGGGAUGAGGAAGAGGACGAAGAUGACUCCACUUGAAGAACUCUUUAAUUAUUUAUGUUUGUUUGAUUUUUAUAUUAUGGUUGUAAUUUAAUUACCUUCGGGUAACAAUUUUUUUUUUUUUUUUUGUGUUUACUUUCUGAUGAACAUCGUUAACAACAGGACAUAUAUUAUUUUCUUA